rnacentral:rRNA from 1 species
AUUGAACGCUGGCGGCAGGCCUAACACAUGCAAGUCGAACGGUAACAGGAAGAAGCUUGCUUCUUUGCUGACGAGUGGCGGACGGGUGAGUAAUGUCUGGGAAACUGCCUGAUGGAGGGGGAUAACUACUGGAAACGGUAGCUAAUACCGCAUAACGUCGCAAGACCAAAGAGGGGGACCUUCGGGCCUCUUGCCAUCGGAUGUGCCCAGAUGGGAUUGGCUUGUUGGUGGGGUAACGGCUCACCAAGGCGACGAUCCCUAGCUGGUCUGAGAGGAUGACCAGCCACACUGGAACUGAGACACGGUCCAGACUCCUACGGGAGGCAGCAGUGGGGAAUAUUGCACAAUGGGCGCAAGCCUGAUGCAGCCAUGCCGCGUGUAUGAAGAAGGCCUUCGGGUUGUAAAGUACUUUCAGCGGGGAGGAAGGGAGUAAAGUUAAUACCUUUGCUCAUUGACGUUACCCGCAGAAGAAGCACCGGCUAACUCCGUG